AUAACGACGAGUACAACACUAGACGCAUGUCUAGAGUUUAAAAGAUGGUUCUGCUAUCACUCUUGGAUGGACCUGCGGUGCAUUAGCUAGUUGGUAAGGUAACGGCUUACCAAGGCAAUGAUGCAUAGCCGAGUUGAGAGACUGAUCGGCCACAUUGGGACUGAGACACGGCCCAAACUCCUACGGGAGGCAGCAG
rnacentral:rRNA from 1 species